GGCCAGGUGGCGGAAUGGUAACCCAUGCAAGAUAAAUACAGCACCUGCAAUGUUUCCUCGCAAGGUCUCUGUUCGAUUUGGAGUCUGGCCA